GGCUGGUCUGGUGGUAGUGGGUUAUCAGAAGUUAUUAACAUUAGUGUCACUAAAGUUGGCAUACAACCCCCCACUGCUAAAUGUGAUUGGCUUUUA
rnacentral:Y_RNA from 1 species